UAAACGCUGGCGGCGUGCAUAACACAUUCAAGUCGAACGGGAAUCGAAUGAUUGAGACUUCGGUCGAUAGAUUUCGAGGAUAGUGGCGGACGGGUGAGUAACGCGUGAGCAACCUGCCUUUGUGAGGGGGAUAACACAGGGAAACUUGUGCUAAUACCGCAUAAUGCAUAUCGAUUGCAUGGUUGAUAUGUUAAAGGAGCGAUCCGCUUAGAGAUGGGCCUGCGGUGCAUUAGCUAGUUGGUGGGGUAAUGGCCUACCAAGGCGACGAUGCAUAGCCGAACUGAGAGGUUAAUCGGCCACACUGGGACUGAGAUACGGCCCAGACUCCUACGGGAGGCAGCAGUGGGGGAUAUUGCACAAUGGGGGAAACCCUGAUGCAGCAACGCCGCGUGAAGGAAGAAGGUCUUCGGAUUGUAAACCUUUGUCCUAAGUGAAGAAACAAAUGACGGUAGCUUAGGAGGAAGCCACGGCUAACUACGUG
rnacentral:rRNA from 1 species